GUAGUUCAAGACUUUGUUUUAAGAUACUGCUUGAUAACCAGCGAAUGGAUUGUAGCAUUCUUCUGCCUACUAGUUAUUUCCCUCAUAAUGUAAUAGAGUUUAUGGUUAUGACAGAAGAGGCUAAUUUUGUGAGGUGUUUUUUUUUUGUGUGUGUUUUUCCCCAGGUGGUUUUAGAGGUGGAAGAGGAGGUGGAGGCUUCAGAGGAGGACGAGGAGGCGGAGGCUUCAGAGGUAGAGGACGUUAAGUGGAACUUUUGGCAAGUAAACUUCAUUCACCAGUUGGCUUUUUGAGUCGUUCUAAAGAAUUAAGGAAUUAUUUCUGCUGUGGAUCUGAAGAUUGUUUUUUUUUAAAGCAAGUACAAUUCUAAGGAACUGGUCACUUUAUGACAGUGUGUCAACAGUGUCACUACACCAUGCAAAACGGAUGCAAAGGAUGAGACAGUUUUGCUCCAAAAGAGCAUGGACUGAAUCUUUUAUAUAUUUUGUACAAUGCUCAGCACUCUGUGGGUGCUUAAUAAAUGUUCAAUAAUACUUUUGUUGUAAUUUGGAGUUUUUAAAUAUGAAAAUUUAUCUUUUUUUCUUAGUUUUAAAAUUGAUAGCUGUUGUUAUUAUGGCUUGACUUCAUUUUUGAAGGUCAAAUGCCCACUGAAUGAAUUUUAAAAAGCUUUAGUAGCCCAGACAUAAAUAUAUUUGCUUAAAAUUAGUUCUCAACUUACCAGUUUGAACUAUGCUAGUGAUAUGGUACUAUAGUGCUUAUGAGCUAUGAUAAAUGAACUCUUUCCAAAUAAAUACCUAUUGUAUAUAGGAACAUCAA